GUGAUUAAAUCGAGCGUGUCUUCAUUGACCGCUCACCCUUCUCACCAUCCACAUACACCUGUGCACUGUUCAGCCUGAGCCGGUUUUCCGGUCCAGGUUAUCAUUUCAUACAAACUCUAGUCUUAUGAAUGUAAACGUUUUAAUAACAUAAUA
rnacentral:misc_RNA from 1 species